AAGGGUUCCUGUCCAACGUUAAUCGGGGCAGGGUGAGUCGACCCCUAAGGCGAGGCCGAAAGGCGUAGUCGAUGGGAAACAGGUUAAUAUUCCUGUACUUGGUGUUACUGCGAAGGGGGGACGGAGAAGGCUAUGUUGGCCGGGCGACGGUUGUCCCGGUUUAAGCGUGUAGGCUGGUUUUCCAGGCAAAUCCGGAAAAUCAAGGCUGAGGCGUGAUGACGAGGCACUACGGUGCUGAAGCAACAAAUGCCCUGCUUCCAGGAAAAGCCUCUAAGCAUCAGGUAACAUCAAAUCGUACCCCAAACCGACACAGGUGGUCAGGUAGAGAAUACCAAGGCGCUUGAGAGAACUCGGGUGAAGGAACUAGGCAAAAUGGUGCCGUAACUUCGGGAGAAGGCACGCUGAUAUGUA
rnacentral:rRNA from 1 species